GACGAACGCUGGCGGCGCGCUUAACACAUGCAAGUCGAGCGAGAACCCAGGCUUCGGCCUGGGGGAAAGCGGCGAACGGGUGAGUAACACGUGGGUAAUCUGCCCUCGGCAUCGGGAUAGCCCGGGGAAACCCGGAUUAAUACCGGAUGGCCCGACAGCUCUUCGGAGCGGUCGGAAAAGGUAGCUUCGGCCUCCGGCCGAGGAGGAGCCCGCGGCGGAUUAGCUUGUUGGUGAGGUAACGGCUCACCAAGGCUCCGAUCCGUAGCUGGUCUGAGAGGACGAUCAGCACAACUGGGACUGAGACACGGCCCAGACUCCUACGGGAGGCAGCAGUGGGGAAUCUUGCGCAAUGGGCGAAAGCCUGACGCAGCGACGCCGCGUGAGGGAAGAAGGCCUUCGGGUUGUAAACCUCUUUCAGGAGGGACGAAGCCACUCGGGUUAAUAGCCCAGAGGGUGACGGUACCUCCAGAAGAAGCCCCGGCUAACUACGUGCCAGCCGCCGCAGUAACAC
rnacentral:rRNA from 1 species